rnacentral:rRNA from 1 species
AUUGAACGCUGGCGGAAUGCUUUACACAUGCAAGUCGAACGGCAGCACGGACUUCGGUCUGGUGGCGAGUGGCGAACGGGUGAGUAAUACAUCGGAACGUGCCCAGUCGUGGGGGAUAACGUAGCGAAAGCUACGCUAAUACCGCAUACGAUCUACGGAUGAAAGCGGGGGAUCGCAAGACCUCGCGCGAUUGGAGCGGCCGAUGGCAGAUUAGGUAGUUGGUGGGGUAAAGGCUCACCAAGCCGACGAUCUGUAGCUGGUCUGAGAGGACGACCAGCCACACUGGGACUGAGACACGGCCCAGACUCCUACGGGAGGCAGCAGUGGGGAAUUUUGGACAAUGGGCGCAAGCCUGAUCCAGCCAUUCCGCGUGCAGGACGAAGGCCUUCGGGUUGUAAACUGCUUUUGUACAGAACGAAAAGCUCUGGGUUAAUACCCUGGGGUCAUGACGGUACUGUAAGAAUAAGCACCGGCUAACUACGUA